AACGAAUUGUAAUUAAGUAAUAUUUUCGUGUUUUUUUCUAUUUUUUUUUUUCUUUUUUUUUUUUUAUCUAUCUGUCGUUUCGAAAUUAUAAACGAAAAACAAUUUGGGACGUGCGAGCACGUGAAAUAUUAUGUAAAUGCGCCCGAAACCCACCUGUGCCGAGGAUCAACGUUUAAAAACUAAUUUCACACGUGCGCGCUUUUUGCAUAAUACACACUGGGCUACGACGCGAUUGAGAGUAAAACAAUAAUACUCGUUUUCGACACGAUUGAGCAAUCUAUUUGCCGGCGUACUUGUAUCGAUGCGUAGAACGAACGGAAAAACGCCGAACACAUUUUCGAGAAAACCAUUACAGUCGAGCGUGGUGUACUAUGUUGCGUACGCCGUGUACGGCAAGGUUGCUGUGUCGACAUUAUUUUCUUCAUGUUAAUUUCCGAACGCGCGCGUAGGUACAUUUGUAGCCGGAAAAUGUAGGAUCGGUUCGAAAUGUAGAGGGAAAUCACUAUGAUUUUUUUUUUUUUUUUUUUUUGAGGAAACAAUUGAUGUCAGGCCAAAAGAAAAACCACACAUCAUAGUAAAACCAAUAGAUAGAUUCCUCGCUAUGGUCCGAGUCUAAAAAAAAAUAAAAAUAAAUUGUCGACUAGAUUUCCUAGUUCGAUAGUUUUGUCCUUGCAUUUCAGGGUCACCGGGAUAACGGUUACAUUUUUUUUUUUUUUUUUUUUUUUUUUUUUUUUUUU